GACGAACGCUGGCGGCGUGCCUAAUACAUGCAAGUCGAACGAGUGGCGGACGGGUUAGUAACACGUGGGAACCUACCCAUCAGAGGGGUAUAACUAUUGGCAACGGUAGCUAAUACCGCAUACCAUCGGAUUUGCCCAGAUGGGAGUAGCUAGUAGGUGGGGUAACGGCUCACCUAGGCGACGAUCCCUAGCUGGUCUGAGAGGAUGACCAGCCACACUGGAACUGAGACACGGUCAAGACUCCUACGGGAGGCAGCAGUGGGGAAUAUUGGACAAUGGGCGCAAGCCUGAUACAGCCAUGCCGCGUGUAUGAAGAAGGCCUUCGGGUUGUAAAGUACUUUCAGCGAGGAGGCGUUACUCGCAGAAGAAGCACCGGCUAACUCCGUGCCAGCAGCCGCGGUAAUUC
rnacentral:rRNA from 1 species